GCUGGCGGCAGGCCUAACACAUGCAAGUCGAGCGGUAACAUUUCUAGCUUGCUAGAAGAUGACGAGCGGCGGACGGGUGAGUAACGCGUAGAAAUCUACCUAGUAGUGGGGGAUAGCCCAGAGAAAUUUGGAUUAAUACCGCAUACGCCCUACGGGGGAAAGCGGGGGAUCUUCGUACCUCGUGCUAUUAGAUGAGUCUGCGUCGGAUUAGCUUGUUGGUGAGGUAAUGGCUCACCAAGGCGACGAUCCGUAGCUGGUCUGAGAGGAUGACCAGCCACACUGGAACUGAGACACGGUCCAGACUCCUACGGGAGGCAGCAGUGGGGAAUAUUGCACAAUGGGCGCAAGCCUGAUGCAGCCAUGCCGCGUGUGUGAAGAAGGCCUUAGGGUUGUAAAGCACUUUCAGCAGUGAGGAAAGGGGUGUCGUUAAUAGCGCCAUCCUGUGACGUUAACUGCAGAAGAAGGACCGGCUAACUCCGUG
rnacentral:rRNA from 1 species